AUUGAACGCUGGCGGCAUGCUUUAUACAUGCAAGUCGAACGGCAGCACGGGCUUCUUCCUGCUGUCACGUUGCCGACGGGUGGGUAAUUCAUACGUACAUACCCUGUCGUUGAGGCUAGCUUGGCUUCAGCAGGAUUAAUCUCACAUACGACCUGAUAUUGAAACCCGUGGUUCUUUAGUCCUCGCCCUUUUUGCUGUCACUUUUACAUGGUUCCUCGCCGCAUUAGCUAGUUGGUACGGUAAAGGCUUACCAAGGCUACGAUGCGUAGCCGACCUGAGAGGGUGAUCAGCCACACUGGAACUGAGACACGGUCCAGACUCCUACGGGAGGCAGCAGUAGGGAAUUUUCGGCAAAGGGCGAAAGCCUGAUGGAGCAAUGCCGCGUGAGUGAUGAAGGCCUUCGGAUUGUAAAGCACUGUUAGUAGGGAAGAAAAAAUGUGUAAGAAAACAAGGACGUCUUGACGGUACCCAAAGAGUAAGCAACGGCUAACUACGUG
rnacentral:rRNA from 1 species